UAAUGUGCUGUGGGCUUAAUCCCUCA
rnacentral:piRNA from 1 species